UGGAAGAAGGACUGUAGCAGUUUCUUUGCUCUGUCCAACCCACCACUGUUUCUUUGCUCUGUCCAACCCGCCGCUGCAGGUAGAGCUAUGCAUUGUUGUCGGCAUUUUCUGCUUGUGCUAAUGCUGCUUCUUCGUUUUGCUCUCCUUCAUAAAGAUUGGUCAGGUGAGCCAGCUGCCAACCGACGUUUUAUCCAUCAAAAUAGAGAGAACAAGACUUCCAGUUGAUCUCAUCUCAAGCGGACUCUCAGGCAGACAGACACCCAAAAAGACUCCAACUUUCACUAAUGGCGA